CAUACGAUUCCAGUGGUUAAAUCCAUGUCUUCAGAAGCGAUAUGAUAAUUGUGGGUGAGAAACAGAUCAAUAUCUAACUCCUUUUUUACUAUAAAUCUCCACUUUUACUUUCACAUUCAUCUUUUGUUUUUGGUGAUUCGCAUUAUUUGUGCAUAUCGCCACCUACUGGGCAGGGAGGAGAAUUUAUAGUAUAAAAGGACUUAAAUAUUGAUCUGUUUCUCACCCACACUUAUCAUAUAACUUCUGAAGAAAUAGAUUUAACCACUGGAGUCAUAUGGGUUCCUUUAAUGCUUGCUUAAUGUGCUUUUUGGACCUACAAAGUUCUGGCCACCAUUAACUUGCAUUGUAUGGACCUACAGAGCUGAAAUACUCUUCUAAAAGUCUUCAUUUGUGUUCUGCAGAAGAAAGUAAGUCAUACACAUCUGGGAUGGAAUGAGGGUGAGUAAAUGAUGAGAGAAUGUUAAUUUUUGGGUGAACUAUCCCUUUAAGUACUGAAUUCACAUAUUGAAUGCUCAUUAAUCAGAAGUCAAGUUUUUGGUUUGAAAAAUCCAAGCAAGAUGCCCCAGGGCAGAAGUAUAAUGUUGGCCAUGCUUGCAGCAAUCAUUCUGAAAUAUGGUCUUAUAAAACGAUAUACUUCUAAAACAACAACUGGUUUCAAUUGAGAUUGAAAACACAUUGAUUUUUGCUAUGUUUAUGCCUCUCAUCCACACUGGAGCAGCAUUUUCCUCCACCGAAAAUGGAGACUUUCGAAAAAAAACUUUCUAAUAUUGCAAACUUGGGAAAUAGAAAACCAAACGUUUUCAACCAAAAAUGUAUUGUGUGGACACGGCCUAAGGUUUCGAGAGGCACGAAUACAGAUAAACAUGAAAUUUUGUGCAUCCUUGAAAACUGGCAACCUAACAAUCAUAGCCAUGACCACUCAUAUUUAGAUAUUAUGGAUGGUGCAGUCAUUCAAAUGAGCAGAUGAAGUCUGGGGUUAACCCUCCUGUGGUUAUUCGGUCAUUUUUGACCAAAAUAUAUAUUUUUUAAAUUUAAUAAAAAUGUUUUCCUUUAUCUGAGCAGUACAAGACUUGGUGACUUUUCCUCCAUUUGCCAUCUGAACAUAAAACAAAUAAAUAAAAAAAUAAAAAAAUGGGCUUCAUUGGAUAAGUUUAAGUGGUUGUAAAAAAAGCAACACCUUUGGUCUUUGCAUUCAAAAUUGACCGACCAUUGAAAAUGAAUGGGAAAGACCAAAACACAGAGCAAUUGUUUUUUUGAUUUGUCAAAUACAAUCAAUAAAUCAGCCACAAUGCAGAAAAAAACGGACAGAAAUUACAGGGUGAGACUCUAAAACAUCCUCAAUACAAAACACACACACACACGAAUGGACUGGUGAGACUUUAACACGCUUUUUUUUUUUUACAUUUGUCAAUUAAAACCAACAAAUCCACCACAAUGCUAAACAUACACACUCAAAAAUGAAGGGUUGAGACGAUAACACAAUGCAGAACACACACAGAGAACCAUGGCAUCAAUAAGUGCAGCUCUACAGCCAUCUUUUGGUCAUUGUUGGCAUUACAAAUCAUCUGUUGUUUUCCAGCUGAUGACAGCAAUCUGGCACACAACACACACACACACACACACAUUUGCAAAAUAAAUGUUAACUAUAGAAAGCUUGAAACUGCAAAAUGUUUACUCUGAUUCUUCUGAUUUAUACUCUGAAUUUUCUGAAUUUUGCAGUUCAUUUCUGUUUCAUGAAGUUAAUUUUCUUGACAUUAUUAUUAAUUUAGUUUGAUUUAUUACAUUUUUAUGUUUGAAAUAAAUUAUUGGUAGAAAAAUUCUUA